UAAAGGCACUGUGGAGUUGUUUCUUGUUGAUGCUGCUGAGAAUGCUAAUAAUGGGAGCUGUGAAUGUGGUCUGGGGUCAUUGUACUGAUUGUUGAGAAUGUGGAAGUGUCUUGUUUCCCUUUUGGUGAGUCUCAGAAGUUUGAUGGAGUCUCUCUGAAGGGAUUUCAAGGACAUUCAGAUUUAGCAGGUAUGCGGUAGCAGGUAUGGGAUUGCCCUUAGCCAGUAAAUUUGGACAAUGGAGGAUCUAAAGGAUCAUCUGCCACUGCUACAUCUGU